rnacentral:rRNA from 1 species
UACGGAGGGUGCAAGCGUUAUCCGGAUUUAUUGGGUUUAAAGGGUCCGCAGGCGGCUCGUUAAGUCAGCGGUGAAAUUCCUCAGCUCAACUGAGGAACUGCCGUUGAUACUGGCGAUCUUGAGUGCGAGUGAAGUUGGCGGAAUGUGUGGUGUAGCGGUGAAAUGCUUAGAUAUCACACAGAACACCUAUUGCGAAGGCAGCUGACUAACGCGAAACUGACGCUCAGGGACGAAAGUGUGGGGAUCAAACGGG